ACAUAGGCAUUUUUCAAUGCCACAUCAACAUAUAGCAACAGUAAAAAU
rfam:Nelumbo nucifera unplaced genomic scaffold scaffold00202, whole genome shotgun sequence